GUGAACGCUGGCGGUAGGCCUAACACAUGCAAGUCGAACGGCAGCACGGUAAGAGCUUGCUCUUACGGGUGGCGAGUGGCGGACGGGUGAGGAAUACAUCGGAAUCUACUUUUUCGUGGGGGAUAACGUAGGGAAACUUACGCUAAUACCGCAUACGACCUACGGGUGAAAGCAGGGGAUCUUCGGACCUUGCGCGAUUGAAUGAGCCGAUGUCGGAUUAGCUAGUUGGCGGGGUAAAGGCCCACCAAGGCGACGAUCCGUAGCUGGUCUGAGAGGAUGAUCAGCCACACUGGAACUGAGACACGGUCCAGACUCCUACGGGAGGCAGCAGUGGGGAAUAUUGGACAAUGGGCGCAAGCCUGAUCCAGCCAUACCGCGUGGGUGAAGAAGGCCUUCGGGUUGUAAAGCCCUUUUGUUGGGAAAGAAAAGCAGCAGGUUAAUACCCCGCUGUUCUGACGGUACCCAAAGAAUAAGCACCGGCUAACUUCGUG
rnacentral:rRNA from 1 species